rnacentral:piRNA from 1 species
UUGACAAUGUCUGGGUCAUUUUGGUUGUC